rfam:Thalassobius sp. CECT 5114 genome assembly, contig: 0008
GGAUCGGGAGGCCUCUGGUGGGACAGGGCCGGGAAUUGAUCCAUUCGUCUGUCUCGAAAGGGAAAGGUGCCGGAGCCCGACGGCAUGCUGA